CAGGAAUGGCUGCUUGGGGACCCACUGAGCUCCCAGACCUUUCUGCUGUAUCCUCUACCCCUGUAUUUCACUUGGCUCUCUAAAUUGACUCAGCUCCAAGUAAGGUCGGAAACUUCUCCCACAAACAGACCUUCAGUUUCUCCAGCGGGGGGCGCAGGAGGUUGCAGCCAGGCUAACAGAAACCCAGCCCUGCCCACUGGGUGAAACUGCAAGUCGAGAGCGUGGGAAACCAGCAAGUUGAGAGAGGAUCCAGAAGUAACCCCUUCUAAAACGGGAAAGAUGCCUUCCGAAAGCACUUGGCCCUAAAGAGAAAACACUAGGAGGAUGGGAACCAGGGACAGAGAAGCUACUUGCUCUGCAGCUGUUUGGGCCAGUAUGUUCCCUAAUCUUGAUGGCCAUCCUGGGCUUAUUUUCCUGAGAGUCUCUAAGUGACUCACUGCAUCACGUAAAACUAAGAAAAAGGAUGUCCUGAAUUUUCCUGCUUAGAGAGCUUGUUUUUCUUUCCUGUUGCAUCAAAGGGGUCUGUUAAACUUUCUAAAAGUACUAAUCUGACCUGAUAUCUGAAGUAACAGAUAGGAAUUUGGGCUCUUUAAAUGGAGCCCUUCCCCCAUACCUGCAUCUCAUUGAAGAGGCUGAACUUCAAAACAAAAUCAUGUUGGAGAAUUAAGUCUCGUUCCCAGAUUUAAUUUCUUAUUUUUAUAUUGUUGCAUAAGAAAUCUACUCUAUAAGGCAUCUAUUUUCAAAUUUGGAAAAUCUUAUUUUAAGUUCAUUUAUUUAAAGACCAACAAACAAAAACACCAAAUUCACUAGCCCAGGUCUUUAUGGACCACCAUCUCCCCUCCCCGCCUCCAUUUCUCCCUGGAGUAGUGAUUGUGGGGCCACUGCAUGAAUUUUACUCUAUUAUUUAUCUAAUGAGCAAAGCCAAGGCUGGCAAUGCUGAGAAUGCAUGAGGGAAAAAAAGAUAUCACAAUGACAGCACACUCUGCAGCGUUCCAUCCAAAAGCAAGUAAGUGACUCACUGUUCUGUAAAGCACAGGGCAGAUUCUUAUACGGAAAAACUACCCUCAGAAGUGCAUGUGAGACCCUAGUCUGUGUAAAGGAAUUUACUCUGGGUUUUCUUCACAUUGGCACUCAGGUAUGCGGGUGUGGGUUCACAGACAUUCCUUUCUGACUCAUUACCCACUUUGCCCCUGCUCCCCGCCCCCUUAGUGCUUGAGGCACUUUUUCCAGCCUCCCCUGGGCUGGGGCAGAGAUUGAUGGUAUCUUGGCACUCUCCAAAGAGAAGCUGUGCCCCUUUGCACUUUCUUUUUGUGACUAGUCCUUAAGACUUGCUGCCAAGCUUGGUUAAAUGGACAUGGCACAGCUGCCACUGAGCUGAAAGCUCUUACCUACGAGGGGUUGUGGUACAUGUAGACUCUUCUGUUAGUCUGCCACUCAACACGUAUUUAUCCACCAGACAGACAGUGAGAUAGUGAAGGGGACCAGAAUCUGCCACCCCAAAAUAUACCACUUUGGCAUAAGGAUUGUUUUGAUUUGAAAGCAAUUAGCUCUCUGCCUUCCCCUUUUCUGUCUAAAAGUAGGACAUAAAUUUCCUUUUGAAAAUUUACAAAUUUCCAUUUGUAAAGGUGUCUCCCUCUCCUGUACCAGCAAGAAAACUACUCUGGAGGCAACUCUUAGCACCCAGGAUGUCUCUUAUCCACAUAACAAACCUUACUAAAUGACCCUUAUUUCCUGUACAUUUCCUAUUCACCUUCCUAUAAUUUAUCUCCUCCCCAGAAGCCCCAGAUCACUUUGCUUUUGUCUAGCCUAAGAUAGUAUAUAACCCCAAAUUCUAACUGCUUCCUUGAGUCACAUUUCUUUGUGAACUCCUGUGCGUAUGCACAUACUUAAAUCUGUUUUUUUUCUGUUAAUCUGCCUUUUAUCAGUUUUAUUUGCAAGCUUCAGCAACUGAAGUUGAAACUGCCUUUGCAAAAAUUAUAACAGUCAGAAAAUUAUGACAGUGAAAGAGGUCUGAUCCAACCAACUCUAUCUUGCCUUUAACCUCCAAAUUGCCCUUGAUCAAGGCAUGGGCCAAGCUAACUUUGGGAGAAAUUUAUAAUUUAAAUGAUAAUAGCCCUCCCCAAAACUAAACUGUCUUUGUAAAACUAAUGAAAGGCCACCAGGUUGGGAGGAUGAUUGGGGCCUGAAUUCCACUAAGAUGUAGGCAUAAAUGAUUACCGGCCAUUAUUCUGGAGGCCACAAGGUUUGCAACUUCCGCAAUUACUCCUGUAAAUAACAUCACUAUUGUAGAACCUAACAUUGGCCUUUUGAGAUGUCUUUUCAGAUUUUUGCAUUUCAGAUGAUCCAAUGGCCCCAUCUAGACUGGAGACACCAACUCAUGACUCAGCUGGCCUUGUGGCCCACACCCAGAAGUGGACUCAGUGCAUGAGGACUAUUUUCCACACUCCUAUGAUAGCAUCCCCAACCAAUCAGCAGGACCAUUUCCUAGCCCCUUGCCCACCAAACUAUCUUUUAAAAAACCUGGCUGGGCGCAGUGGCUCACACCUGCAAUCCCAGCACUUUGGGAGUCUGAGGAUGUGACUUGCUCCUCCUUGUUUUCCAACAUGAUUGUGAGGCCUCCCCAGCCACGUGGAACUGUAAGUCCAUUAAACCUCUUUCUUUUAUAAAUUGCCCAGUCCAGGUAUGCCUUUAUCAGCAGCAUGAAAACCAACUAAUACACUGACCUUCCCCUAAAGUAGGUUAUAUGACCCUCAUCUGACAGAUGCCCUCCUUAGACCUACAGGGAAGGAAAAAGCAUCCUUAUCUCUGAAAAUGGAGGAACACAGAGAAAAAUUCAAACAAACAGGCCUCGUUAAGUCCCUGCCCCAUUUAUUACCAUUAGAUAAUAUUCUUUGUCCUAUCAUAUUUCUCCAUGACUGUUCAUUCUUCAUCAAACCUAGAAUAAAAACACUCAAAUGUACCUGUUUCUUUGGUCUUCAUUUCCUUAUGAAGGCUCUCAUGUCACGUAAAACUUAUUUGAAAUAAACCUGUAUGGUUUUCUGAUUAAGCUGCUUUUUGUUACAGGCCAUAAACCUAGGAUAGGUAGAGAAAAGGAUAUUUUUCCUCCCCUACAUUGAUCCAGAUGCAAUCACCACCAUUAGCAGUGCUUGCUUGACUUUGACUGCUCAAGAAAAGUUAGUGGAUUUGCACCCACUCACCCACUCCCAUCCCCAUUUCUAUGAAACACAUGAUUUAGCAUUGUGCUAGAAGAGCAGAGAUUUGAGCUCUUCUUAGAGGCCGCUCUAGCAUGCUGCUUCUUCUGAGAGAUAGCAAGUAAGACCCUCAUGGCCAUGCAUCCAAGGUUUGCUGCCUUGAGGGCCACUGCUUUUUACCUUUACAUUGCUGCCUUACUAAGUCCCAGCAGUCCAGGAAAAUUUCCUGGAUUCAGACGUUCCGAUUAUUCUGAAAAUUUAUUUUUCCUGCCCUCCACUCACAGAACUGCUUAGACAGAGUGACUAUAUACCAUUGACUGUAAAUUCAUGAUCAAUUAAAGAAAAUAACUUCUCUAAUCCAAGUCCAAAGGCUGAUAACAGAGGCCCAGGGACUCCUGAGCUAUCAGAGGGAGGCACUAGGCUAGUCUCCCAGUGAAAUCAAGCAAAGAGAGAAAUCAUUAGAGGAGCCAUGUUUAUUGUUUGAAUUUUAUGAAUACAUAGAAUUCUAUGAAUCAAAAAAGGGAAGUUCACAUUGGUUCUGUGCAGCAUGUGAUAAACCACAGCAUUGCUAUCUACAUUUUUUUUCUUUCUUUAUGAUCAGUAGCCUCUCAAUAAAGUGGAUAUUUUGAGUGUUGCAGUACCAGAUACAGACAUAGGUUGUAAAGAAGAAGAGUUUUUCCACUUGUUAAAGAGAUAGGAGUAAAGCAGCAAAAGUCUGGAACAUUUCUGGGGGUAUAUUGCUUAUCAGAGUGUUCAGUUAUUCUAAGGCCAACUUCAUUUUCUAUGGUUUUUCUUAAGAAAACAUUUGUGAAAAUAUCCAAUUAUGAGUACAAACUACCUCCCAUGAAUUAUCUGUGAUGUCUAUACUGAUUCCCCAUGGAUGUUUAUAUAGCCAGAUGUUUGAAAUCUUGGGCACCAUCUCCUCUGACAUAAACAAUUUUCUGUGAAACCUUCCAUGUUAACCAGUGGUACCUGAUUCUCAAAUCUGAUGUAAAUCUAGCAUAUACUCUUCUCCCACACAAUGUCUUUGACUGUAACUGUUUUGCUAUUAUACUGAAAGUACACACUCUUUUCUCCUAACCAUGGGCCCCAAUUCCCACAAGAUGAGGACAAACUACAGAGUAGCAGAGGGAAAAGACCAUUGCUUUUCCUCUUUGAAGACUUUCUAUGAAAUUUCAUCUUUCUGCUCUGCGGAUGGCGUUUUAUGUUGGGAAAAUAGUAGAACUCAUAAUUUGGUCUCCUGGACUUAAUUUCUAAUUACUUCAUAUUGGUGACUUUUUUUUAACCUCAAAGAGGAAAACGGCAAGCCCUAAAUGCCUGUUUUUCUCCUUUUUUGGCCCAAGUGGGUAACUGAGGCUCAGUUUACAUACAUCAAAUUACCAAAAUGCUGUCUUGUAUAUAGUUUUGAAAGAUAGAGAUGGGUUUGUAAUGUUUUUCAGACCUGAUUCAGAGCUCAAUUUAGUUUUUCUUUUGGUAUUCAGGCUAUUAUAUUCGUCAUAAAAACAGGCACUGUGUGUGCCUUAGUAAAUAAUUUAUAACUUUCCCCAUAACUCAGGGGAACCCACCAUAGUCUGACUGUCUGCCUUUUACCUUCUCAUCUCUAUACCUCCAGGUCUCUAGUGAUCAUAAAAGUGAUCGAAGCCCUGAUCUGAUUUUUAUCACAAAGCCAUUCUUCUUUGUGGGUACUUUGGUUCUGGAGACAGAGAAUCAUGAGAUCAGAUAAAGCCAUGUGGAGGGCUGAAAGUUGGCUGGAAUGGCGCUUGGGGCCCAGUUUAUGCUGUUGGAGCAUUUCCUGUGUGCCCUUUGAAACCUCUGAACUCAGCUCUUCAAAGUGAGAGCUUUGUCUUUCCGCUGAACACAUAUAUUUGCUACUUAUUAUCUUUCUCUUGCCAUCUCCACCCUUACUUGACUCAGCCAACAUCGAUAUAUCAAAGCAAAAGCAUUGCUCUGACUGAGUCAUAAGUUAUACUUUUACCUGACAUUAUCUGGCUGUGUAGAAAUGAAAGCAUAAAAAUAAUGGAGGUUUUGUGUACAGGUCUACACACACACACACACACACACACACACACACACACACACACACACACACACGUCUUCUUCUUUGCUUCACUUAUCAUGCUCUCACUACUUCCACUGUUUCUCUCCCCAACUCCUGCCCACUCCCACUCAUAGCAGUUUAUUAAAGAAGUAUGUUUUCUCAUGAGCCAAUUGGGUAAUUUUUCAAGUUGAACCCCAUUAACAUUAUAAAUGCCGUUAUAAAUGCUUGUUUUUCAAAAAUUUGUCUUUCCAAAACUUUGUUCUGGGUCAGAAAAUUUAUUUCUCUUUAGAGAGCCAGUGUUGCAUGAGGAAAUUGAAGCUGAUCUCUGGGUGUGUGUUUGUGCUAAUUUGCUGUACAAUCAAAUACAGAUAUAGGUUAAUAAAUGCUGUUCUUUGAUCUGUUGCUACAAAGGAUUCAUUGUAAAUACAUUACUAGAUAAGUAAGUUAGAACUUUGUAACUGUCUCUUGCAAACGGUGCCCCAUGCCACCCAUUAGCAUGUGCAAGAAGUGAUACAUUUGGCUUCAGCCUGCCUGGGUUUUACUUUGCUGAUUUGUUUAUUUUUAAAAUAGUUACCCAUAGUAUACUUCCAUUUGGGGUGUCCUCAUAGAAGGAUAGCACUCAGGCAGAGAAAUAGCCCAAAAAAACAAUAACAGCACCAAAAACUUGGUAGCAAGAAUUUAAUAAAACCAAGGGAGGCCAAUGUUUCUAUAGGUAACCAUUUAACAUUUGUCAUUAUGUGUCUAGCUCUAGCCAAGGCAUUGCAAAGAAUGCAAAAAGACAUGAUCAAAGGCCUCAAGAUGUUUACAGUCCUGUUAGGGGAUGAAGGUAUUGGAGUGAAUCACAUUCACUAAAAUGGGAAUAAAGACUUCUACCUUAAAAUCAUGGUGUUUUUCAGGGAAUCAGAACUAAUAUGAUAUGACUGGAGUUAAUAUGUUAUUGUGGGGGAUGGGGAGGAGUAGACUAUUGGUAGUUGUGGCUACAAAUUUGGCAGGAUUCAAAUAUUGAAAGGGAUUUGUAUGUCAAGCUAAAGAAUUAUAAUUUUUCUCUAUAGACAAUGGGGGAAUUAACCACCGAAGAAUUUUGAGUUGGUGAAUGACAUAAAAAGAUUUGUAUUUUAGAAAAAUAACUGGCAUGUUGCGGGGUGUGAAAUGAAGUAAAAGAAGUCUUCAGUUGUGAAGUUACAUGUCCAUUGAGUCUAGCAGAUACCAAACAAUCACAUCAAAAUCCUGAAAUAAUAAUAAAUAAAGAAUUCUACCUUGUCUGUCUCAGUGAUUGUACGUGGAG
rnacentral:lncRNA from 10 species